rnacentral:lncRNA from 1 species
UAAGACUUACUUUUUCUAGUUCUCUACUAGAUCUUAAAUUCAAUAUAAUAAUCUAUAAAAAAAUACAAUUAUUUUCACAGAUACUCGUACGCAACUCAAUAUAUAAUUCUACCCGACAAUAACGAAGAAAAAAAGGGUUAUUGUUUUAACUAAUAUACGCAUAUAAAAUAAAGAACGCUAAACAAUCAGAACAAUAAAGAAUAAUAUUCCACGCGACUAAGAAUAAGAAAAAAAUAUGUUUGAGUUACUUGUUUGAAAAGCAUUGUUAAAAAUUUGCACAUUGUAUAGCACACCUGCUCUUGUCUACCCCAACUGUAUUGUAUGUAGAUCGAUCCAAAGCCUUUAAACCAAUCAGAAAUACUCAAUCUCCGGUCUGCAUUGCUUUCAAUUUAAAGCGACCCACCCUCCAAUUAUUUAUCUAACGUUAUGUCAUAAUUAUUAAUGAUGGUAACACAACUUUAAAUUCCAGACAGUAUAGCUAUUCAGAACAAAUUUAUUGCCUACUAUUAAAGUAAUUACUACUAAAGUAUUACCUACUUCAUACUAUUUUAAACAUUCCGAACAGUAAAAGCUCAUCGAAACGCUGGAGGUCACUGAUCUGUAUUAAGUACCCGCAGAUGUACAAUAAAUAAUACGUUCCAAGAGCUUCAUUUAUACAUCAACAUUGACGGUAUCUAUACGUAAUCUUAAUAGGACAAUCUACUGGGCGAGGCAGAUCGUGGUCGCGGCGUUCGCGGACCAUUCGCUGUUGCAAUUCUGUUUCUAAUAGAGAUUAUUUUGAAUCGACAAAUCGUGAUACCGAUAGCAGGUAUUCAACGUUAUGUGUACACUUAUAAGAAGCAGAAUCCGUCAGCCGGUGGAGCGAGGCGUAAUUUUUCGCAGCCGGAUACCGUGUUACUUUCAACUACGAGGAAUGCGGACAUUGACCAGCCUCUCAUGCGCCCCGUCGCACCCGUCUGCACUUUGCACACAUAGGGCAUCCAUCCAUCCGAAUUACCCCGGACUAUAUA